ACUCCACCUUUAGCUUCAUCACUUUAUUUUGUAGGUUAUUUCUGAAGGAUUUGAAGAAUUCGCGAAUCUGGCAUAGCUUUAGGGAAGUUAACAAGGUGGCACAUGUCCUGGAUGAUAUGAAGCUUUGUUGUUGGGUGUUGAUUAUGUAGUAUUUUUGGAUUCACCCACUUUUGUAUCCCAGGUUCUCUUUUCCCAUAUGCAAGAUGUUUAUGUUAGUAGAA
rnacentral:lncRNA from 1 species